rnacentral:rRNA from 1 species
GACGAACGCUGGCGGCGUGGAUUAGGCAUGCAAGUCGAACGGUAUCAUCCUUUCGGGGGUGAGAGAGUGGCGAACUGGUGAGUAACACGUAGGUUAUCUACCCUCAAGACGGGGACGAACCCAGGGAAACUUGGGCUAAUACCGGAUGUGAGCAACUUUUAGUUGUUUGAAAGGUGGCGUAAGCUGUCGCUUGGGGAUGAGCCUGCGUCCUAUUAGUUAGUUGGUGAGGUAACGGCUCACCUAGGCAAUGAUAGGUAGGCGGCCUUAACGGGUGGUCGCCCACACUGGGAUUGAGAUACGGCCCAGACUCCUACGGGAGGCAGCAGUCGAGAAUAGUCUACAAUGGUCGGAAGACUGAUAGUGCGACGCCGCGUGAACGAUGAAUCCCUUCGGGGUGUAAAGUUCUUUUAUAUGUGAGCAGUGCUUCUUAUAUUAACAGUAUGGGGAGAGAGAUAUUAGCAUAUGAAUAAGCAACGGCUAACUCCGUGCCAGCAGCCGCGGU